AGAGUUUGAUCAUGGCUCAGAACGAACGCUGGCGGCGUGCUUAACACAUGCAAGUCGAGUGCGCGCCUGUAGCAAUACAGGUGGCGCACGGCGCACGGGUGCGUAACACGUGGGUAAUCUGCCCUCUGAUGGGGAAUAACUCGCCGAAAGGCGAGCUAAUUCCGCAUAAUAUUCCGAGAACUUUGGUUUUUGGACUGAAAGGCGUAAGUCGUCGGGGGAGGAGCCCGCGCACGAUUAGCUAGUUGGUAGGGUAAUGGCCUACCAAGGCUUUGAUCGUUAGCUGGUCUGAGAGGAUGGCCAGCCACACUGGAACUGAGACACGGUCCAGACUCCUACGGGAGGCAGCAGUGGGGAAUCUUGCACAAUGGGCGAAAGCCUGAUGCAGCGACGCCGCGUGGGGGAUGAAGCUUCUCGGAGUGUAAACCCCUUUCGAUCCGGACGAAACCCCGCAAGGGAUUGACGGUACGGAUAUAAGAAGCCCCGGCUAACUACGUGCCAGCAGCCGCGGUAAUACGUAGGGGGCCAGCGUUGUUCGGAAUUACUGGGUGUAAAGGGUUCGUAGGCGGUGCGGCAAGUUGGGAGUGAAAUCUCUGGGCUUAACCCAGAGACGGCUUCCAAAACUGCUGUGCUUGAGUGUGGGAGAGGCUCGUGGAAUUGCAGGUGUAGCGGUGAAAUGCGUAGAUAUCUGCAGGAACACCCGUGGCGAAAGCGGCGAGCUGGACCACUACUGACGCUGAAGAACGAAAGCUAGGGGAGCAAACAGGAUUAGAUACCCUAGUAGUCC
rnacentral:rRNA from 1 species